AGCAGCCGCGGUAAUUCCAGCUCCAAUAGCGUAUAUUAAAGUUGCUGCAGUUAAAAGCUCGUAGUUGAAUUUCGGGAUCAAUAUGUUGGUCGUGCCUCGGUACGUACUAGCUUAUUGGUUUCUUCCUUCUGACGAACCAUAAUGUCAUUUAUUUGGUGUUAUGGGGAAUCAGGACUGUUACUUUGAAAAAUUAGAGUGUUUAAAGCAGGCUCACGCUUGAAUACAUUAGCAUGGAAUAAUGAAAUAGGACGUUUGAUUCUAUUUUGUUGGUUUCUAGGAUCGACGUAAUGAUUAAUAGGGAUAGUUGGGGGCAUUAGUAUUCAAUUGUCAGAGGUGAAAUUCUUGGAUUUAUUGAAGACUAACUACCGCGAAAGCAUUUGCCAAGGAUGUUUUCAUUAAUCAAGAACGAAAGUUAGGGAUCGAAGACGAUCAGAUACCGUCGUAGUCUUAACCAUAAACUAUGCCGACUAGGGAUCGGAUGAUGUUAAUUUUUAAUGACUCAUUCGGCGCCUUACGGGAA
rnacentral:misc_RNA from 1 species